CCCAGUUCUCAUAGGGGUGAUAGAAAGGAGGAAGCAGAGGACAGGCUUAGUCAUCUGUCAUAGCCAAUUAAUGCUAAUGUAGUGUUCAAAGAUGCAUAUGAAAGCUUGUAAGUUAACUCUUGUUAUGGUAUUCUGUGGGGGAAAACUCUUAGAGUUUGAGUGAUGAAACUAGUUUUUGGAAACAUGCAGUGGCAGCAUUAACAGCAUUUAUUUCCAAGCAGAAACUAGUUUGGGGUUUCAUUUUUUUUUACAUUCCCAUGAGCUUUGAAAAUAAAACAAGAAUUACUGAAAAUAUAUUCAGUGAGUAAAGUCACUGAGAAAAUUAAAAUUUAAUGCUACUACAAUAUUGUUUCCUUGGAGAAAAGUCUUUCACCUAACUGCAGAAAUGAAAAUCUCACUGGUUGAGCCUCCCUUCCUCAUUUGGAACACAGUGCUGUAACACCACAGCCCAGUGUAUUUGGUAGGGGAUUGAAAGUCUGUUAUCUCCUCCUGCCCUUUCUAGGUUGAAUUUCUGUGGAUAUCUGAGUGUAUUUCUGCGUUUGCUGACCCCUCCUGUGCACUGGCCAUGCCUCCUGCUGCCCCACAGCCAGAAGGGACUGGGUUUCAGUGCUGCUCUUUGCCUGCACUGUGAGACACCUGAUAAUCUCAGCAUCCAAGUUUUUGUUCAUCUUUCCUCCCUUUCUGGAGCAGGACUAUGACAGCCUGAUUACAAUUACUAGAGUUUUAACAUCAUGCAGAGCUGCAACCAGUUGGCUGAGACAAUGACGGCGUGCAGGCGCCUGCCUCUGCUGCUUGCAGAGUGAAACAAAUUAAUGUGGAUUAAUGAGGUGCACGUGAUGCAAAUGAACCUGUGCUGCUGGGACAGGCUUGAGCAGGCACAGCAAGAGUGGGGCUGGCAGUGGUCCUGGUGAGGUGUGUAACCCCAUGGCUUGUGAGGAUGUGCCUUGGAGCAGCCGUGUGGAAGGGCUCAGAAGCUGAGAAAAGGGAACACUUUUUUCCUUCCCUUUCCUACAUGGAAUUCUACAAAGAUUCCUCUACAAUUAAUGCAGCAAAAAUAAGAAAACAGCAGGAAAGGUUUAAAGUUGGAGAGACAUUCUCAAACUUCUCUCAAGUAGUAAAAUAUGAUUCAGAGAUGCAAAGAAGUGAAAACCAGAUGUCAAACUUAAAAGCCUAAAUACAAAAGUACCUACAGAUUCCUGUGGCUCCUGUACACUGGUGAAGAUGCUGAGAGGAAUGAGGGCAUUUUGACUGUCCCAUGCUGUAGAAGGCUUAAUUCUUAAUUACUAAUUAAUUCUUUAUGAGUCUUUUGUUAGCCUUGCCAAAUUCAACAGUCACAUUAAUGAUAGGUAUCUCUCCAAACUGGAAUUUGUUUCAAUUGUGUUUUAUUUUUAAGAAGAUGAGUGAACCCACAAGAAUUCCCUCUGCAGGAUACAUCUUCAGUCAUUUCACCACUCCUAAGAAUAAACUAACUCCCUGCUGAGUUAUUCA
rnacentral:lncRNA from 1 species